UGGGUGAUCUGCCCUGCACUCUGGGAUAAGCCUGGGAAACUGGGUCUAAUACCGGAUAUACCUCAUGGACUGCGUGGUUUGUGGGGAAAGCUUUUGCGGUGUGGGAUGGGCCCGCGGCCUAUCAGCUUGUUGGGUGGGGUGAUGGCCUACCAAGGCGACGACGGGUAGCCGGCCUGAGAGGGUGUCCGGCCACACUGGGACUGAGACACGGCCCAGACCUCCGUACGGGGAGCA
rnacentral:rRNA from 1 species